rnacentral:lncRNA from 1 species
GAGAAAAUGAAACCUAGGCUGAUUUCUGAAAGCAGCGGAGCAGUCAGCCAGGCUAAGAGCCAGGAAGGCUAAGGGGAGCCGUGUGCGAGGUCCAGUGCGGGGCAGGCCCACUGUCUGCUAUUUACCAAAGUGAGAGAAAGGCAUUGUGCUGUGCCCUUAGGAGCUGGGAGCAGGACAGGGAAAAGUUUCCUUUGCCUGUGGUCAACCAUGGUCCAGAAACAGACCAUCCUCCUGACUUAGCAUCAAGAAGGUCAAAAAGAAACCUAAUGUCAAGUCACAGCGCCUACAUUAUUCACCUUCACCGCAUCUCAUCACCUGGCAUUUUAUCAUCUCGCGUCAUCACAAGUUGAAGGGACAGAAUGGAGGGGACAGCAUCUCUGCACCAUCAUUCCUGUGGGCUGACUGAACUUUUUGCUGCCACUCAUUGAAGAUUAAAGGAUUGUUACUGUGAACUCAAUUCCUCUGUCUCAAUGUGUCCUCCAUUUUCUAUGUUAAUGUCAAUAACCCAUAUCUUCCCAUCAUUUAAUGGCCACCAUCAGCCAGCAGAGAAUUUUUCUUUGUGAGAGGGCUUAUGUGUUCAGUCAGCAUUUACUACUGACCAGAUACCAAGUAAAAUAAAAUGGAGAGACCUGUGACCUUCCCGUGGUAAAAGUCAUCCUGACAUAUUCCUCAUGUGUGCAGCAAACAAGAUGGCAAGGUACACAGAGUCACCCACCGAAUUAGUAGAGUCAAAAGACACAAAGAUCUUAGUUGAGAAAAGUAUUGAUCAGCAAGGCAAAUGAAGGCCGUUGAUAACCUCCAUGAUUAAAGACUGAGGUACCACAAGG